GACGAACGCUGGCGGCGUGCUUAACACAUGCAAGUCGAACGGUGAACCUCUUCGGAUGUGGUCAGUUGCGAACGGGUGCGUAACACGUAGGCAACCUUCCCCCGGCUCUGGGAUAACUCCAAGAAAUGGGGACUAAUACCGAUUGUUCACCGCUUCCCCCAUGGGUGGGUGUGAAAAGGGUUUCCUGGGCGGUUGGGGAUGGCCUCGCGGCUUAUCAGCUUGUUGGUGGGGUAGUGGCUUACCAAGGCGUUGACGGGUAGCCGGCCUGAGAGGGUGACCGGCCACAUUGGGACUGAGAUACGGCCCAGACUCCUACGGGAGGCAGCAGUGGGGAAUAUUGCGCAAUGGGCGGAAGCCUGAUGCAGCAACGCCGCGUGCGGGAUGACGGCCUUCGGGUUGUAAACCGCUUUCGCCUGGGACGAAGCGUGAGUGACGGUAAUGGGUAAAGAAGCACCGGCUAACUACGUG
rnacentral:rRNA from 1 species